rnacentral:rRNA from 1 species
CGGCAGACGUACCAUGCGACGUCUGUACGGAGAGUGAGGACACUCACUCUCAGUGGCAAACGGGUGAGUAACGCGUGAAUAACCUGCCUUUGAGAAGGGGAUAACUGUCCGAAAGGAUAGCUAAUACCCUAUAUUGCCUUUUGUCACUAAGGCAAAAGGUGAAAGCGAGGCUGUCAAAGGCUUCGGCUCAAAGAGGGGUUCGCGUCCUAUCAGGUAGUUGGUGGGGUAAUGGCCUACCAAGCCAAUGACGGGUAGCUGGUCUUAGAGGAUGAUCAGCCACAGUGGGACUGAGACACGGCCCGCACCCCUACGGGGGGCAGCAGUGGGGAAUCGUGGGCAAUGGGCGCAAGCCUGACCCCGCAAUGCCGCGUGAGGGAAGAAGCCCUUCGGGGUGUAAACCUCUGUCAGAUGGGAAGAUGGGACUAGGGGCUAAUACCUCCUAGUCUUGACGGUACCAUCAGAGGAAGGGACGGCUAACUACGUGCCAGCAGCCGCGGUAAU